CAGCUUAAACCGCCAUGACAACCUCUUCCAGCCAAAACUUAUCUCUUCGGCAUCUGCAGGACAAAAACGGGGAAGCAGACUAUUAACUUGCUCCUUGCUCCUCUGCGCCUACCCGCCUGCGUGAUAUACCGUUGAUGUAAUAAAGUCUUCUGCUAUCAAGACCUCCGCGAGGAAUAACAGAGGAAUGCCACUCCAGAUGCACAACCCUCGAUUCCCUUAGAGAUUUGCACAGAAGGAGCAAAGUCUGAAGGUCAGCACUCUAAAGGAAGAAAAUUUUGACCCCUGGCCUUUGAGGUAUCUUUCCUUAGAAUUCUCACAGCAAAGUGGGUAUUUUAUGGUGAA